GGGGAUUUAGCUCAGCGAUAGAGCGCUUGCCUAGCAAGCACAAGGCCCUGGGUUCGGUCCCCAGCUCCG
rfam:Rattus norvegicus chromosome 9, whole genome shotgun sequence.